rnacentral:rRNA from 1 species
AUGAACGCUGGCGGCGUGCCUAAUACCUGCAAGUCGAGCGAACAGACGAGGAGCUUGCUCCUCUGACGUUAGCGGCGGACGGGUGAGUAACACGUGGAUAACCUACCUAUAAGACUGGGAUAACUUCGGGAAACCGGAGCUAAUACCGGAUAAUAUAUUGAACCGCAUGGUUCAAUAGUGAAAGACGGUUUUGCUGUUACUUAUAGAUGGAUCCGCGCCGCAUUAGCUAGUUGGUAAGGUAACGGCUUACCAAGGCAACGAUGCGUAGCCGACCUGAGAGGGUGAUCGGCCACACUGGAACUGAGACACGGUCCAGACUCCUACGGGAGGCAGCAGUAGGGAAUCUUCCGCAAAGGGCGAAAGCCUGACGGAGCAACGCCGCGUGAGUGAUGAAGGUCUUCGGAUCGUAAAACUCUGUUAUUAGGGAAGAACAAAUGUGUAAGUAACUAUGCACGUCUUGACGGUACCUAAUCAGAAAGCCACGGCUAACUACGUG